rnacentral:lncRNA from 12 species
AUCAAAGCCAGUGGGAAAGAACAGAAGGCAGCUGAUCUGAGAUAUAUAUUUAGUGCCUAAUCUUUUCAAGUUUCAGGAAGAAAAGAGCCCAGGAUUCCUCUCGUACUUCUGGAGCAAGUGAUUGGACAAUUUUAAGUCCUUCUGCAUGAGGAUGAAGACAAAGCUUUCAGGAGAAAGAGCCAGGUUUCAAACCUCUGGUUUGUCCAGGGAGAACUUCCUCCAUGAGAUCCAGUAAUGGUGAGCUGGAACCUAGGACAGAGCCUGACACAGAAGAGAACAUUCCUGAGGUGGUGCCGUCCUUGUUCUACCUCCACUGGCUCUUUGGGGAGCUACACAGAGCUGCUGAGGUUACUUACAUGACACUCCUGUGCCCUGCGUCUCAAAAGCUGGCUCAUUAUAGGAGUGGAUGCCAAUUCUGAUAGUGAUCAAAAUUUGCUCUCAUCAAAUGCCAACUCUUUGGACCUUCUGGAAUUAGUUAGUGACCAUAGCUCAUUUCUAGUGGAAAAGGCUGUAUGCAACAGCCAGCUGUCUUAUCAGGAAGGAAAAUGAUUUGUUUUUUCAAAUUGGCUUUAAAAAGUGUAUAUGCUGCCAGACGGCCUCUGGGCAUGUGUAUGAAACAUCGAAAGCAGACACAAUACACACGAAAAAGAAAUGAAUUCCCAGAGCAGGCUCCCCAAGAAGUAGCCAAGUAGGCUCUACUGAUGGAACGAAAUGAGCCUUAGAAACAUCACUCUUUUCUUCUAUAAAUGACUUUUCUCUGUG